UCAACAUUCUUGCCCCACAAUAGGUGUGAUUGCUUCCUAUUACGUUGUCAUGGCAACAUCCAUUUCCAUUGAGGGGGGGGGGAAUAGGGAUAUGGAAACAAAUGAGCGGCCAAUCAGUCUUUCCUGGAAAGUCACAUAAUGACACACUGUUCUCUGCCAAAUGCCAAAGACAGGCGGGGAAAAAAAGUUAGAAUGAGUGAUUCCUUUCUGUGCCUGGGUUUCUCUGGAUCAAAGAGAUGAUCCCCCCCCCCCUCAUUUCUGAUGUACUGCUCUGAUUGCUGAGUAUUGUGGGAUGCUGAGUGAAAUUCAGUUCAUCAAUGGAUUGUUAGUCAAUUCAGCUGGAGAAUGAGUAAAAGAAACUGAUAUGAGCUAAGAUGGGAAGUAAGAGAAAGUGGGGUCAUUCAUGCAGCCCUGCACCAGUGUAAUGGAUAGAUCUUCCCUAGGAUCAGGCAGGAAAGGAAACUGAGGCUCUUCUCUCCACUCCAGCGAGGUCAAAGGCACAGAAAGGGUGCUGGACAAGUCUCUCUAUGGAACAACUAGAGAUUUCCUCUUCAUGAAAGACCCUGGUUCUGGGAAUUGCCAAAUCAGCCACAGGGAAAUGAAAGGGACAAUACCUACAUAAGGGUAUUUGGGCUCAUGGGGAUAAUCUCAGACGGAGCACCUCUCUAUGUGUUUUUCCCACGGCUCUAACUUCUAGGACCCAGGCUCUGAACACCGUGAGCUUUACCAUCAAGAGAAUGAGGACAGCUAGACCUCGAGGCUGAGGUUGACUGGAGUAAUUAAUCCUAAAGGUUACCAGUGCUUGUCCUGCUGUGGAGGAGCAAUCCAAUUACCCACCAUGACAGCAAAUCCAUCCCUUGGGAGACACUCAUCUGCUGAAGACACUGACCUGUCUGUCCUCUUGAAGCCUUCUUGUCAAGGAGUCCCCACUUUCCCUUAUCCUCUUGCUCUUCCAAGCCUGGCACAGACCUUGGGUAGCUCCAUCUAUGUCAUCUGGUAUGUGGUUCCUAAAUUGUCUGGCCAGACCUUGGAUUCUGAACAUUGGAAUAAGACAAGUAUCUUCAGUUUUCUCAUCUAGGGGCCUAUUUUCCUUAGGACUAAAGAGAAAGGAAAAGCAAACCUACUUGUUACUUUUAUAGGACAGAUCAGUCCAACUUCAUGCAUUAGACAUCAGGGAAAAGGAGCAGGAGCAGGGGACUCUAGAUGCACUUUAUAAUUCAACAAACAUGCAAAUGGACACCCAAAAGGUCUUCUGAAAUAAUGAAGGCCAACUUUGAAAAGGUCCAAGUAACCCAACUAUGAUUCCAAAAGACUGAUGAUAAUUAACACUCCUCAUCACCUGGCAGAGGAGCCAUGGAUGAAAGGUGUAAACUGAGACAACAGUUCUAGAUAUGGCCAACAAGGGAAUUCAUUUUGCUUGACUGUGCAUGCAUGUUACUACAAAGAUUUUUCCCUCUUUUCUUAUGUCAAUAAGGGGACAGGAGGGUGAGAAAAUAGAUUUAUUAAUAUAAAAGAUGUAAUUCUUUAAAAACACUAAAAA